rnacentral:ncRNA from 1 species
UGGAACAAUGUAGCUAAGCGAAGUCAGCAAACUGGAUCUGUAUCUUCUGGAUAAGGAUUGGCUCUAAGGGCUGGGUCUGACAGGCUGGGGUGCAAAGCGGGGCUGCCCCCUCCCAUUCUGGGGAGACCCCCUCCUUUCCGCUCGGGUACGCCCUCUCCUCUCCCCUUCGUCCCCCACGCCAUCAUCUCUCUGCCCUUGCAGGGGGGUUGGGGGUCCGCAUGGUGGCGGGAGGUGGGCGCGGGCUCCCGGGCAACGGGUUCAACCUCGCGUGGGCCGGAGUAGGAGCCUCGCAGCCGCACCCAGGGAGGCUGGCGGGUGCCGGCAAGGGCUCUGGCCUCGCUGCCCCCAACACCAUGCCCGCCCCGCACUCCGCGGCACUGGGGGUGUGCUCCCCCUCCCGCUGUCCCACUGGCGAAGGGGAGGCUUCCCCGGUCGGGGUUCUCCCUCUGGGUCCCCCACUCUGAAAGGAAAUAAAACUGUAAUUCAUGUAAUGUAUGUUAAAUAGCCCAAAGAGUUGUUUGUGAGCUUUGAAACCUGGGGCUGAGAACAUAGCAGAACAGGCCAGGACAUGCCCGGGCAGGCCCAUCGCCUCCCUAGCUCCCACCCCUCUGACCUAAGUUAAAUGUUACAGGCUGCUGAUGUUUAAAUGGACCAAUCUUGUGAAACCGCGCCAAUUCCUCCCCCAGCCCCACUCCUUUUCUAUAAAAACCCCUACCUUCCAAGCCUCGUGGUCGAAUCCACUGUCUCCUGUUGUGUGAGAUACGUUUCGACCCGGAGCUCCGCCAUUAAAAAACCUCUUGUUGUUACAUCAAGGUGUUGUGUUCUAUUCGUGAUUCUUGGGUGCACGCCGGAUCGGGAGCUGAGUGGGGGUUUCCCCACUGAGUUCUUUCAACUCCACCGCCCACGGCCAAGGUUUUUCCAUAAGGGCGGGCGCCUUUUAGAACUACUGCGGACCUGGGGAAUCUGUCUGUUUAAUUAAAACAAAGCACCGUGAAGGCCUCCGCGGUGUUAACACAAUAUGAUUUCUGCCUAGUGCUCUUAAUGUCAAAGUGAAGAAAUUCAAUGAAGUGGGGGUAAACAGCGGGAAUAAAUAUGACCCUCUUAAGGUAGCCAAAUUAAUUAGUGAGGCGCAUGAAUGGAUGAACAAGAUUACCACUGUCCAUACCUAUUAUCCAGCAAAACCACAGCCAAGAGAAGGGGCUUGGAGGAAUCAGUGGGGAAAGAAGACCCUGUUGAGUUUGACUCUAGUCUGACACAGUGAAGAGACUUGAGAGGUGUAUUAUAAGUGGGAGCCCCCCCCCCCCCCCCCCCCCCCCCCGUACUGGUGAAAUACCACUACUCUCAUCAUGUUGCUGUUGUUGUUGUUUGUUUGUUUGUUUUUUUCACUGACCCGGUGAGGCAGGGUUGGGAGGCAGGGGACAAGCCCCAAGGGGCUAUCGCUUCUGGCCCCAGAGCGGGCAUGAUUCUCUCCAGGACAGUGCCAGGUGGGGAGUUUGACUGGUGCAGUACACCUGCCAAAUGGUAGCAGGUGUCCUAAGGCUCAGGGAGGACAGAAACCUCCUGGAGAGCAGAAAGGCAAAAGCUCCCUUGAUCUUUAUUUUUGAAUCAAUACAAUACAAAUAUAAACCAUAAAAGCGGGGCUUCAGGAUCCUUCUGACCUUUUGGGUUUUAAGCUGGAGGUGUCAGAAAAGUUACCAUAGGGAUAACUGGCUUGUGGCAGCUAAGCGUUCAUAGCCACAUCGCUUUUUGAUCCUUCAAUGUCAGAAAAAAGUAAAAUAAUAGUAUCAAUUAUGAAAGAAAAAAUUGCAUUUGAAAGAAAGCAAGCAGGUGAAGAUACAUAUGAGGGUUCAUAGGGAGGAAGGUAGGAAAGAAACAAAGUGAGGAAAUGAUAUAAUUAUAUUCUAAUUUCAAAAAAUAUUUAAAAGAUAACAAUAAAUAUUUUUUCUAAUUCAACACCCAAAAACAAUGAUGGAGACAAAAAUGUAGAAAAUCUGAAGAAUGUGACCAGGCUCUUAGGUCUCUUCAGUAUUUACUACAUCAGAAAAUUCUUAUUGCAAAGAAACUAUAUAAUUGUACACCACUAUGUUAUAUUUUUGUCUUUUUAUAAACUGGAAAUUCUACUCUACAGAAUCCUAAGAAAUGUCUUGAAUUUGUCAAAUG